CUCUUGCACUUGACAAGGAUCCCUCUGGCUGCUGAGUGGAGAAGGAACUGGAGUGGGCAGAGCAGAAGCACAGAUGGCUACUGCAGUCCACCAGGAGAGAGAUGCCCGGGAGGUUGGAAGGCUCUAAUAAGGCUGAAGAUGAGCACAUCCUGCGAGGCAGUCAUCCCACUGCUAGGCAUGAACCCCAGAGCACCUCGAGUCCACCUGCACCAGCACCAGGAGACACAUAUAAGAACACUCCCAGCAGCACUACGUACAGCCCCGGACCCAGGACAACUGAGAUGUCCAUUGCUAUGGAGAGGCUCCAGAGAGAUCCCGAGACCCUUCCACCAGGCGAGGAUGCAAGGAGAAGGCGCCAGCUACUCACUGGGAAGAGGGC
rnacentral:lncRNA from 1 species